CAGCAGCCGCGGUAAUACGUAGGGUGCGAGCGUUAAUCGGAAUUACUGGGCGUAAAGCGUGCGCAGGCGGUUAUAUAAGACAGAUGUGAAAUCCCCGGGCUCAACCUGGGACCUGCAUUUGUGACUGUAUAGCUAGAGUACGGUAGAGGGGGAUGGAAUUCCGCGUGUAGCAGUGAAAUGCGUAGAUAUGCGGAGGAACACCGAUGGCGAAGGCAAUCCCCUGGACCUGUACUGACGCUCAUGCACGAAAGCGUGGGGAGCAAACAGGAUUAGAUACCCCAGUAGUCCCUGUCUCUUAUAA
rnacentral:rRNA from 1 species